rnacentral:rRNA from 1 species
UACGAGGGGGGCGAGCGUUGUUCGGAGUUACUGGGCGUAAAGAGUGCGUAGGCGGUUUUCUAAGUUUGGUGUGAAAUCUCCCGGCUUAACUGGGAGGGUGCGCCGAAGACUGGAAGGCUUGAGUAUGGGAGAGGUAAGCGGAAUUCCUGGUGUAGCGGUGAAAUGCGUAGAUAUCAGGAGGAACACCUGCGGUGUAGACGGCUUACUGGACCAUAACUGACGCUGAGGCACGAAAGCGUGGGUAGCAAACAGG